rnacentral:rRNA from 2 species
UCAGGAUGAACGCUGGCGGCGUGCUAAUACAUGCAAGUCGAGCGAACUGAUUAGAAGCUUGCUUCUAUGACGUUAGCCGGCGGACGGGUGAGUAACACGUGGGCAACCUGCCUGUAAGACUGGGAUAACUCUCGGGAAACCGAAGCUAAUACCGGAUAGGAUCUUCUCCUUCAUGGGAGAUGAUUGAAAGAUGGUUUCGGCUAUCACUUACAGAUGGGCCCGCGGUUGCAUUAGCUAGUUGGUGAGGUAACGGCUCACCAAGGCAACGAUGCAUAGCCGACCUGAGAGGGUGAUCGGCCACACUGGGACUGAGACACGGCCCAGACUCCUACGGGAGGCAGCAGUAGGGAAUCUUCCGCAAUGGACGAAAGUCUGACGGAGCAACGCCGCGUGAGUGAUGAAGGCUUUCGGGUCGUAAAACUCUGUUGUUAGGGAAGAACAAGUACAAGAGUAACUGCUUGUACCUUGACGGUACCUAACCAGAAAGCCACGGGUAACUACGUGCCAGCAGCCGCGGUAAUACGUAAGUGGCAAGCGUUAUCCGGAAUUAUUGGGCGUAAAGCGCGCGCAAGCGGUUUCUUAAGUCUGAUGUGAAAGCCCACGGCUCAACCGUGGAGGGUCAUUGGAAACUGGGGAACUUGAGUGCAGAAGAGAAAAGCGGAAUUCCACGUGUAGCGGUGAAAUGCGUAGAGAUGUGGAGGAACACCAGUGGCGAAGG